AAAAAAUAUAUGUCAUUGCUUUGACUUAGAGCCAAUAUGAUGUUUAUCAUUACAAUACUUCUCAUAGCUGCUGCAGCAAACUGCGAUGACUCUGCGAGGCGUAGAGUUAAAUGUGAAUCCAGCAACGACUGUUUCUUCAUAUGCGACCAAAGCUGUAUUGAACCCAUAACAGCUAUUUGCCAGACUCACAUGUGUUAUUGCGGAGUCACUUAUCUGACUUAAAUAAAAUUCAGGUAAAAUAAAACUAACAUCUCGAUAUAUACCCUCCCUUAUAACAUAAAAUAAUAAAUUUAAACAGUGUCAUAUGUCGUAAAAAAAAAGUGGAUACUGUUUUUACUAGAAAUAAAUUGAAAUAAUAUAA